rnacentral:rRNA from 1 species
AUUGAACGCUGGCGGCAUGCCUUACACAUGCAAGUCGAACGGUAACGCGGGGCAACCUGGCGACGAGUGGCGAACGGGUGAGUAAUGUAUCGGAACGUGCCCAGUAGUGGGGGAUAGCCCGGCGAAAGCCGGAUUAAUACCGCAUGAGACCUAUGGGUGAAAGCGGGGGAUCGCAAGACCUCGUGCUAUUGGAGCGGCCGAUAUCAGAUUAGGUAGUUGGUGGGGUAAAGGCUUACCAAGCCUGCGAUCUGUAGCUGGUCUGAGAGGACGACCAGCCACACUGGGACUGAGACACGGCCCAGACUCCUACGGGAGGCAGCAGUGGGGAAUUUUGGACAAUGGGCGAAAGCCUGAUCCAGCCAUUCCGCGUGCAGGAUGAAGGCCCUCGGGUUGUAAACUGCUUUUGUACAGAACGAAAAAGCUCUGGUUAAUACCUGGAGUCCAUGACGGUACUGUAAGAAUAAGCACCGGCUAACUACGUGCCAGCCGCCGCGGUAAAAC